rnacentral:lncRNA from 1 species
ACUUAUUUAUUUUAUCAAAAAUGCUACUACUAUGUUUUAUUAAAAUAGAAAAUUAUUAAAAAAAGAAAGGAGAAAAAAAUCUAAACCCUUGAGAGCACAGAGAGCAAACUAAGGGCCGAGCCUCGUUAAAACCUCAGCCAGAGGAAAAAGAGUACUCGUCUAUAAAGAAAAAAGUGUUAAGAAGCUGAAUUAGGAGAAUCUCAGAAGCUCCGGCCGUACCAUCGCCCCUAGAAAAACCCGGCUUCACAACACAAGAGAAAACAAAAACAAAAGGAAACCAAGGACCCACAAAGUAAA